GGUUUCUUGAUUAUAUGGGAAAUUUAACCUGCCCACUGAAUAAUUAUUGAAGGGCCGCAGUAAUUUGACUGUGCAAAGGUAGCAUAAUCAUUAGUCUUUUAAUUGGAGGCUGGCAUGAAUGGUUGGACGAGGUAAAUGCUAUUUUAUAUUAAAAAGUUGAAUUUUGAUUUUAAGUAAAAAGACUUAAAUGUUAUUAAGGGACGAGAAGACCCUAUAGAGUUUAAUAAAUGUAAUUUUAAUUAAGUUUUUAUUGAAUUUUUAGUUAUUAAUAAAUUUAUUUAGUUGGGGUGAUAAAAAGAUAAUUAAACUCUUUUUAAAAUUUAAUAUCUAUAAAUAGAUUAAUGAUCCAUUAAUAAUGAUUAUAAGACUAAAUUACCUUAGGGAUAACAGCAUAAUUUCUUUUAAGAGUUCUUAUUAAAAAGGAAGUUUAUGACCUCGAUGUUGGAUUAAGAUAAAUUUUAGGUGUAGUUGUUUAAAUAAUUAGGUCUGUUCGACCUUUAAAAUCUUACA
rnacentral:rRNA from 1 species